UUCCACUCACACUCUCUUCUCUCUCUUUCUCAGUUCAUCCUAUCAUCAUUGUCUCUUUUUAAAAAAUAAUUAAAUUAAAUUAAAUUAAGCAGACAAAUGGCAGAGGCGCUUUUAUGGCCAAUUUUGGAGCAGUUAAGCGCGGUCGUUGCUCAACAGGUACAGGAAGAAGUGAACCUAGUAUGGGGUGUGCAGAAACAACUCGGCAAGCUGAAAAGCAAUCUCCUUUCUAUCCAAUCUGUCCUUGAAGAUGCAGAUAGAAAACAAGUGAAGGAUAAGGCUGUAAGGGAUUGGGUAUACAAGCUCAAAGAUGUAUGUUAUGAUGUGGAUGACGUGCUAGAUGAAUGGAGCACUGCAAUUGAUAGAUGGAAAAUGGAGGAAGGUGAAGAAAAUACUCGCAGCCGACAGAAGAUGCGAUGCGUGGUUCAACUUCGCGACAUUGCCCUUAAGAUCAAAGAAGUAUGCGAAAAAGUGGAUGACAUUGCCAAAGAGAGAGCUAUGUAUGGCUUUUAUCUGUGCAGUGCCACUGAUGAAGUACAACGACCAACAAGCACCUUCUUUGUUGAUGAAUCAAGCGUGAUUGGUCGAGAUGGUGAAAGGGAAGCUGUAGUAAGCAAGUUGGUGGGUGAAAGUAGUCCGGAAGCACCGGACGUGUAUGUCAUCUCUCUAGUAGGGCUGGGCGGAAUUGGAAAAACAACUCUCGCCCAACUAGCUUUUAAUGAUGCCGAGGUUACGGCUCAUUUUGAGAAAAAGAUAUGGGUGUGUGUUUCAGAUCCAUUUGAUGAGGUUAAGAUAGCCAAAGCUAUCCUUGAAGAGCUUGAAGGGAGGGCAUCCGAUUUGGUAGGAUUGCAAUCCCUUUUGCGAAGGGUUUCUGAAUCCAUUACUGGAAAGAGGCUCCUUCUUGUUCUUGAUGAUGUCUGGACAGAAAAUCACGGACAAUGGGAAAAACUGAAACCAUCUCUCACAGGCUGUGCACGAGGAAGCAGAAUUCUAGUGACCACUCGUAAGGACGCUGUGGCAUCGAUGAUGGGAAGUACUGACCACCGGAUCAACAUUAAGGAAGUGUCCAACGAGAUAUGCAGGUCAAUAUUCAAUCAUGUGGCAUUCCAGGAAAGAAGCAAAGAUGAGCGCCAAAGAUUGACAGAUAUCGGCGAUAAAAUUGCAAACAAGUGCAAGGGCUUGCCUCUAGCUGCCUAGGUAUUAGGAGGUCUAAUGCAGUCUAAAAGAACAAGAGAAGAGUGGGAACGUGUUUUAUCUAGCGAACUGGGGAGGCUAGAUGAGGUUGAUAGAGAUCAGGUUGAAAGAGGAAUAUUUAUACCUUUGCUUUGGAGUUACUACGAUUUACCUUCUGUGGUAAGACGAUGUUUCUUGUACUGUGCCAUGUUUCCAAAAGACUACGAGAUGCGCAAAGAUGAAUUGGUGAAGAUGUGGAUGGCUCAAGGUUACCUCAAGGAGACUGCAGGUGGAGAUACGGAGCUUGUAGGAGAGCAGUAUUUUCAAGUCUUAGCAUCGCGCUCUUUCUUCCAAGAAUUUGAGACGGAUGAGGAUGAAGGAAUGAAAUUCAAGAUGCAUGAUAUAGUGCAUGAUUUUGCCCAAUAUAUGACAAAAAAUGAAUGUCUAACAGUGGAUGUCAAUGCCCUUGGAGAAGCAACAGUGGAGACUUCAAUUGAAAGGGUUCGUCAUUUAAGGAUGAUGUUAUCAGAGGAGACCUCUUUUCCCGUGUCCAUUCACAAAGCAAAAGGUCUUCGCAGCCAGAAACCAUGUGUGAUUUAUGCAAUCUGCAAUCCCUAGACGUUACUCGGUGUAGGUCUCUCAAGCAAUUACCGAAGGCGAUUGGAAAACUUACCAAAUUGAGGCAUCUCCAGAUUUAUGGUUCAGGUGUGGCCUUCAUACCAAAGGGAAUAGAGAGGAUAACAUGUCUUCGAACAUUAGAUUGGUUUAUUGUGUGUGGUGGUGGUGAGAAUGAAAGUAAAGCAGCAAAUCUAAGAGAAUUAAAAAACUUAAAUCACAUUGGAGGGAGUCUUAAGAUAUGGAAUCUACAAGAUGCGAGUGACGCUGCAGAAGCACAACUCAAGAAUAAGAAGCGCCUGCUUUGUUUGGAAUUGAAUUUCUACUACAACCAGGAGAACGGCAUUUUAAUUGAAGCUUUACAGCCUCCGUCAUGCUUGGAAUAUCUAACCAUAUGUUGGUACAGAGGGUUGGAUUUGCCAAAUUGGAUGAUGACAUUAACCAGAUUACAGGUGCUUACACUCCGUUAUUGUGAAAACGUGGAGAUUGCCCAACCUUGAAAGCCUGGAAUUGAGGUCGUUGAAGCUGAGAAGGUUGGGUACUGGAUUUUUAGGUAUAGAAAAAGAUGAGAAUGCCAGUAUUAAUGAAGGAGAAAUUGCAAGGGUCACUGCUUUCCCCAAAUUAAAAAAACUUGAGAUUUGGAAUCUCAAAGAAGUAGAAGAGUGGGAUGGAAUUGAAAGGAGAUCAGUGGGAGAAGAAGAUGCCAACACAACUUCAAUAAUAUCCGUUAUGCCACAACUUCGAGAUUUGAUGAUUCAAAAUUGCCCAUUGUUGAGAGCACUACCAGACUAUGUUUUGGCAGCGCCUCUACAGGAAUUAUUCUUAAGUGGUUGCCGCAAUCUAAGGAAACGUUACGGGAAGGAGGAGAUGGGUGAAGAUUGGCAAAACAUUUCUCACAUCCCAAACAUUUGUUUUGAUGAUUAGGUUCAGGAAAUACAGAAUCUGACACCCAAUAUUGGAGUUGUCGACAGGUUUGUUUCUGCCUGCUUCUCAGUAAUUAGGAAUUUCCAUUUUUUUAGCUUGUGUUUCUCUGGCCUUAACUAUUGCUAAAAUAUCUGUCAUGAAUGAUUGUAGCAGGCGGGUGUGUAGAUUCAAAGCUUUCUUUAUGUUUGGUGGGAAAUUAUAUAGUUUCUGCUGUUGUUAUAGUGUCCUGAUAAGUGUGAAAUUUGACCCGGGGUGUUAAAUUGAGAUAGAAGCAUGCCUGCUUAUAAUCUGAACUUCAGUGGAACUCCUUGUAGGUCAAUGUUCUUUUUUUUUUUUUUUUUGAGUGGUCUGGUUAUGGACUUGACUUUGACACGUUGUACAUGUACCCUGUUUCAGAAGCCAACCCCGUGUAAAGAUAGUGACUGCAACCUCUUAUGCAAUCCAAAUUUGGUGUAUCUUCAUCCUCAAUCUUUUCUGAAAAAUAUGAAAGUGUAUGAAAGAAAGAUUGUAUGAAUUCAGAGAAAAGAAACAGGUAAUAUCAUCAUGAGCAUCUGAAGUGUCUUCUAGAUGUGUUUUUUGUAAUAAGAGCCUGAAUCUUCAAGUCACCUCUUCAUCCACUACCACUUUGCUUGGCAUCUAUGAAUGAAAUUCUUUCACGGUGGAGGUAUUA